GGUUCCAAAUCACGACCAGGAGAUACAAGAUUAGCGAUCUCCACUCCAAGGCUCUUCUCGUCAUCCGAAGAGGCCUGCGAAUCAGAUGGAAAUAAAUGCCAAAACUAUUGCAGAUGUAAUGAAACGAGACAAGCGUACAACGCCAUUCCAUAGAUUGUUUACCUUAGUCCAGAUUGGAUAACCCUUCUCGGUCAAGAACUUUUGAGCCACGUUCAUCGCUUCAAGUUUUUCAGCUUUAGUACAUCCUCGGCCGAUCCAAACAAAGAGUCCCGAUCCUGCAGUAUCGAGGAUAAAGCAAUCCUGUAAGCAAAGUAAAAUUUUUCUCGAUAAAACCCUAUAAUUCUUCUUUAUCAUUUAGGUGUCACAGUGCGAAAAUGUGGAUGCUACUUAUGCGUAAAGCAAAACCUUACCGAAUUUUCGCUUUCGUCGUUCUUCCGAAAUCAAACAUUUAAUUGUUGGCGUGUUAGUGAAAGCAAAAAGCCCAAUUUAAAAAAUCAAAUGGUUAAUGCGUUUCGUGUGAAAAAAAAAAAUUCUCAUGAAAAGCGUAAGUAGAAACUGCAAAAAUUAUAUUCAACGAAUAAUAGGGGGAAAUUGAUAGGUAGCUAACCUCUCUUUUCAACAUAGAUUGCUGUAAUGGUUUUUGCCCAAUUUCUUCAAUCACUAGUUGUCCGCUAGCAUCGCUCACGCGGAAUAAUAUCACCGACGACUAGAAUAUUUAAAAAGGAUUACGAGGGGUUUUCCUCGAUGUACCAAUACUAAUUGAAGUCUUGCCUGUUGCUGCUUCUCAAAUAAGAUGUCAUCGUCCUCGGUAGACCCUUCCGGAACAUCCAUCGGUGAACCACUACCUAGCUCGUUGAAAAACGUGGCAACUAACCGAGAAUAACAAUCCUGGCUUUGCCAGCAUGGUCCUGGUCACGGACUUGAUUGGCAGCUUGAAUAGCCUUCAAGCGUUCUAUCUUUUUGCUGCCAUUGCCCAUAUACACGUAAAUGACCUUUCCAGCGUCCAAAACGAAGCAGUCACCUUUGUUCAUUGAAGACACAUCAAGGGGGACCUGCAGGAAUUUCGAUUCAUUUCCUGUUUGAAUAUUCAACGGAUACUGCCAGGGCAAAAUUUACCUGUCGGAUGCGAACGUUUCGCUUGCCCUUGACUUGCAACAAUUUUUUCUCUACCUGAUCGGGAUCAACGUGCUUGAACCCGCUGGCAACUCCGCCAUCAAGGUAGCGAACACCUUCACAUCAUGAUAUUUUAAUGAAUUAUUACAUUUCACAGCCCUUUAAAAGGAAAAAGAUCAGCAGUCAGUUACCUCCAGGGAAAUUUGCUAGAAACAUCGACGAUUCAUAUUCUUGAACUUCCCGAUGUUGAACAGGAACUCCACCAAGAUGGUCGUCUAACUCAACAGCGAAGAUUGCCGCUGCUCCCAUUUCAUCCUAUAAUCAAUCACAUUUUAAUGCUUCAGUUGAAACGGUCAGACAGUGACUGAUCGAGAUGGGAACCAGUGGCAAAUUCCAUGCAUUUUCAAUAACAAACCUGCGACGUGUCUUUCCCCAGCCAAAAAUGGAUGUCCCAUUUCAAUUUGUCUCCGGAUAGGCGGGUCUGUAAAAGUUAAUUAUCAUUAAUAUUAUUUCCUUGCAGACGCUGUGCUUCCAAAAAUACUCACGUUCAGAACAAUGUAAGAAUCUCCACUGUAGAAUUUCCCGUACGAUUUUUUGUCGUAUAGAACUGGUGCGAAAUUCUGUAAUGAUAUGUGGAUCGAAAUUAGAAAUUGCGACACAUAUGCGUCACAUUGGUCACCAAAGCUAUAUUAACAUUUUUCGAAUAAAUAUUUUCCAUUUUGAAA